AGUCUCCAGCCCACCGGUCCGCUGGCCUCCCGAUCCCUGCGGAGCCCCUUUCCUCUCCCCUCUUGCAACCCCCUCCCCCCAUUCUUUCUCCUAGGCAGUUGCCCGCCGCGGUCUCUAGGCCCCGUUUGCUUGUCUCAGCGCCCCCACAUCCUUCCCUGCCCCACCAGGAGGCGAUUCUUGCGUCUCAGGUAGCGCGAAGGGGCUAAACCACCCACCAUUGUGGAGAAGGGAGUUGCUCUAGGCCGGGAGACCGGGCGCCGGGCCUAUUCGCUUGCCAUCCUGCGGCGCUAGGCCGCCUUGCUCGCUGGGGCCCAAGCUGCUGCCCACUCGGGGACCCGGCAGCCUCCUCUCUGCCCGCAGGUUUAUGGCUACAAAUGAUUUGAUGACGGAACUGCAGAAAGAUUCCAUCAAGUUGGAUGAUGAUAGUGAAAGGAAAGUAGUGAAAAUGAUUUUGAAGUUAUUGGAAGAUAAAAAUGGAGAGGUACAGAAUUUAGCUGUCAAAUGUCUUGGUCCUUUAGUGAGUAAAG
rnacentral:lncRNA from 1 species